GUGAUUCUGGUUUCAAUCCAGACCAGUUUUUCUUUAUGUUAAAUAACCUAGAAAACUGUAUCUGGAUUGAUGCUAUAGUCAG
rnacentral:pre_miRNA from 1 species